rnacentral:rRNA from 1 species
GCAGGCUAGAGUGUGGUAGGGGAGACUGGAACUCCUGGUGUAGCGGUGAAAUGCGCAGAUAUCAGGAAGAACACCGAUGGCGAAGGCAGGUCUCUGGGCCAUUACUGACACUGAGGAGCGAAAGCAUGGGUAGCGAACAGGAUUAGAUACCCUGGUAGUCCAUGCCGUAAACGUUGGGCACUAGAUGUGGGGGACAUUCCACGUUUUCCGCGUCGUAGCUAACGCAUUAAGUGCCCCGCCUGGGGAGUACGGCCGCAAGGCUAAAACUCAAAGGAAUUGACGGGGGCCCGCACAAGCGGCGGAGCAUGCUGAUUAAUUCGAUGCAACGCGAAGAACCUUACCAAGGCUUGACAUGCACCGGACGACUCCAGAGAUGGAGUUUUCUUCGGACUGGUGCACAGGUGGUGCAUGGUUGUCGUCAGCUCGUGUCGUGAGAUGUUGGGUUAAGUCCCGCAACGAGCGCAACCCUUGUUCUAUGUUGCCAGCACGUCAUGGUGGGGACUCAUAGGAGACUGCCGGGGUCAACUCGGAGGAAGGUGGGGACGACGCCAAAUCAUCAUGCCCCUUAUGUCUUGGGCUUCAAGCAUGCUACAAUGGUCGGUACAAUGGGUUGCGAAACUGUGAGGUGGAGCGAAUCCCAAAAAGCCGGCCUCAGUUCGGAUUGGGGUCUGCAACUCGACCCCAUGAAGUCGGAGUCGCUAGUAAUCGCAGAUCAGCAACGCUGCGGUGAAUACGUUCCCGGGCCUUGUACACAC